UAUUAAGCUAAAAAGGUAAUUUUUCUCUUGAAUGAUGUGAAGAAUUGAAUUUCUUUCAACUGUUCCAAAAAUCUAUUCCUGCCUGCCACCCUGUGGGGCAGGCAAGAUGAUAUUAUACAUCUCUUAUAAAACAAAGAUACAGACUCAGAAUGGCUAAUAGGAUAUUGCUGAGGCCUGCCAGGUAUCUUUUGGUGAAUAGAUACUCUUUAUCUUAAGGUAUCUUUUGGUGAAUAGAUACUCUUUAUCUUAAGAUUUGUUGUGGUUAUUCUUGGUCUGCUGCCCAUCUAUAAAAAAUUUAGAAUCCAUCGGUAAAGUUGCACAACAAAUUCUGUUAGGAUUUUGUUGGAAUUACACUGAACCUACA